rnacentral:rRNA from 1 species
UUAGCCCUAAACUUAGAUAGUUACCCUAAACAAAACUAUCCGCCAGAGAACUACUAGCAAUAGCUUAAAACUCAAAGGACUUGGCGGUGCUUUAUAUCCCUCUAGAGGAGCCUGUUCUAUAAUCGAUAAACCCCGAUAUACCUCACCAUCUCUUGCUAAUUCAGCCUAUAUACCGCCAUCUUCAGCAAACCCUAAAAAGGAAGAAAAGUAAGCACAAGUAUCUUAACAUAAAAAAGUUAGGUCAAGGUGUAGCUCAUGAGAUGGGAAGCAAUGGGCUACAUUUUCUAAAAUUAGAACACCCACGAAGAUCCUUACGAAACUAAGUAUUAAAGGAGGAUUUAGUAGUAAAUUUGAGAAUAGAGAGCUCAAUUGAAUCGGGCCAUGAAGCACGC